rnacentral:rRNA from 1 species
AUACGGAGGGUCCAAGCGUUAUCCGGAAUCAUGGGAUUUAAAGGGUCCGUAGGCGGGCAAUUAAGUCAGAGGUGAAAUCCCACAGCUCAACUGUGGAACUGCCUUUGAUACUGGUUGUCUUGAAUUAUAGUGAAGUAGAUAGAAUGUGUAGUGUAGCGGUGAAAUGCAUAGAUAUUACACAGAAUACCGAUUGCGAAGGCAGUCUACUAACUAUAUAUUGACGCUGAUGGACGAAAGCGUGGGGAGCGAACAGGAUUAGAAACCCUAGUAGUCC